rnacentral:lncRNA from 1 species
AGUGAUAUAAUUUUUAAGAAGCCACAAAAAUCAAGAAAUAUUCUUGACAAGAAAACUUAGUUUCUUGUUCUUUCUAUUUUAGUUGAAGUUUUUUGAGAAAAAUUUCAACAAAAUAUUUUGUUUAAUUUGUUCGCGGUUUUCAUUGAUCAAAGAAUUGAUAGCAAGGAUCGGUUUCGGUGUGGAUACGCAUAGAGUCUUCGCACUAUCAAAGAAAUUUUGAAACGAGACACUCUUUAUCAGGUACGUCUUAGAUCCGAUCUUUGGUAUGUAAAUAAAUUUUAAACACGAAAAGAUCUUCCUAGGAUUAUUAUUGUAACGAACCCCUAUACGCAAUCCUUCAAUUAGUUAUUAGGAAGAGUGAUUUCUCAAUGUCUUUCCAUGACCAGUUCUUCAUAUCACUCUUUAAAGUCGGGCCAUAAAUCCCAGGAAGUCAUGACCUUGAAAAAAGCUGAAUCUGAAGGAGCUUGCCAUAAGAGCACUUCUUUCCAAGCAGCUCUCGCUUAAACAUCAUUAAUUCUGCUUUUAAUUGCAAUUUUCAUCAACCUGAUUGAUCAUAUUUGUGCGCUCUCCAUAACAACCUAUUCACAACAUUUCGACAAAGCACAGACUUAAGGAGUUCGAAUAUACUCGAAUGGCAGUGCAGUAUCUUCAGAGUUCUCUUCCUCUGCAACAACCCCAUUCAUAACCUUUGGGAGAUACCAAUCAGGCAGAUCAAAGAUUUAAAUUUGAUGGUUUCAGUCUUUAACUUUGUUAGCACUGAACUUACUAUACUUCUGAAAUUAUGGGUACAGAAUAUAAUAUGUUUAAAAAAUUAGUGUUUUUUCACACACAUAUAUAUUCAUGUUUUGUGUUGGAAAUUCUGGGUUCAUUGAACCUAUGGCUAAUAAGCUACAUCCGCCACUAUCAAUGGAGUACUACCCUGUAGCCGUAUCGCUUCUCAUUAUCCACGAAAAGCCACCUAAAUAUGCACAUCUUCCAAAGACUCCAACAUCACGCUCAUUAUCUAUAAAGAAUGCAUGAAUAAAAAAGUCUUCAAGACCUUAAAUUUCAUUGUUUCUUUUCAGUAGCGACACUAUAUGAAGAAUCGGCAUUUAAAUCUCACUUAGGCAUUUCAUCGAAUACCUUGCAAGGAUAUGUUGUCUGCUAUGGUAGAAGAUUUAGGGAGUGGAAAUGAUAAAAAAACAGAGAGUUCAAUAUUUCACCUUUCUUAUAGCCUGUUUGGCCAAACUUUUUUCUUAGCCAAAAGUGUUUUUUUUUUCGGUGUUUGGCCAAGAAAAAAAAAAGUGCUUCUGAGUAGAAGUAGAAGCAGUUUUUGAGAAUCAUAAAAAAAUAGUUUCUCCCUGGAAGCACUUUUUCAAAAAAUAAUUUUAAAAAAAUACACUUAAAAACACCUUUUAACAGCUUGGCCAUACACUAAUAGAUUGCCAAACACUAAUGGUCAAAUAAUAUGAGUGUUAUAAUCUCUAUGAAUCCUUUUAUUCUUCUUUCCAAUAGUAAAUAAUUCGAGCUUAAUCUUGAAUUUUAUUUUAUUGUAAUUCAAGUGUUUGAGGUCUGAUCAUGAUCUUGACGUAUUUUUAAUCUAAGGGAUUGCCGCUUUUUCUUGAAUUGAUCUUUUAAUCAUUAGAACACUUGAAUGCUUAUAGCUUUUAGAGAAAUCUACAUUGUUUGAUUCACAAGCUCUCUCUUGAUUCUUGUGAUAACUUCUUCUCAGUUAUUUUUUGACAGCUUAAGCUUUGAAACUAUAUGGAGUAUUAAAAAAUGAAAAAGAUUGUUUGCAGACCAUAACCGGACUUUGGUAAACAAAACAACUAUUUUCCCUCCAUAAAAAUCCAUUUGCAUGCAUAAGUAUACUAUUUUAUAGAGGUGGGUUCGAAAUUUGAAACUUCGAAAAACCUGUCAUUGAUCUUUGUAAAUGUGAUAGUUGAGAACUAUGAUUCGUUAUUCGAUUAAUAUUUGCCAUCAUAUCCUGGCUUUAGCGUCUGCCGAGCACAUCUAAGUGAAGUUCCUACAUUUUAAUUGAAUUAUUCUUUUUUUUUUGUUACAGACACUAGCGUAAUCACAUACAGUAAAGGGUGGUAAUUAAGUUGAACACCCUUCAACAAUAAUAAUAUGUCAUUGUAAUCACACAAGUGGAAUCUGGGGAGGAUAAUAUAUACGGAGACAGGCUUUAUCCCUACGUUGUGUGAGGUAGAGAGGUUGUUUUCGCUCAAAGAAAAAAAGAAAGCGAGUUUGGAAAAAAAAAUAGUGAAGAGGCAAGUUGAAUAUCUUUCAUCUAAAAAUUA